rnacentral:rRNA from 1 species
GACGAACCGUGCGAACGUUGUUCGGAAUCACUGGGCUUAAAGGGCGCGUAGGCGGGUUUCCAAGUCUGUGGUGAAAGCCUCCAGCUUAACUGGAGAAGUGCCGUGGAUACUGGAAAUCUUGAGGAGGGUAGGGGCAUCUGGAACUGCCGGUGGAGCGGUGAAAUGCGUUGAGAUCGGAAGGAACGCCCGUGGCGAAAGCGAGGUCCUGGACGUUUUUCUGACGCUGAGACGCGAAAGCCAGGGAGGCGAACGGG